GACCAGGUAGCUCAAUUGGUAGAGCGUCCGUCUGAAGUUCGGAGGGUCUGGGGUUCGAACCCCAGUCUGGCCG
rnacentral:tRNA from 1 species